UACGUAGGGGGCGAGCGUUGUCCGGAUUCAUUGGGCGUAAAGAGCUCGUAGGCGGCUUGGCAAGCCGGGUGUGAAAACUCCAGGCUCAACCUGGAGACGCCACCCGGGACUGCUAUGGCUAGAGUCCGGUAGGGGAUCACGGAAUUCCUGGUGUAGCGGUGAAAUGCGCAGAUAUCAGGAGGAACACCGGUGGCGAAGGCGGAUCUCUGGGCCAUUACUGACGCUGAGGAGCGAAAGCGUGGAGAGCGAACAGG
rnacentral:rRNA from 1 species